GUCGAGCGGAAACGACAUUAUUGAAUCUUCGGAGGAUUUAAUGGGCGUCGAGCGGCGGACGGGUGAGUAAUGCCUAGGAAGUUGCCUUGAUGUGGGGGAUAACCAUUGGAAACGAUGGCUAAUACCGCAUAAUGCCUACGGGCCAAAGAGGGGGACCUUCGGGCCUCUCGCGUCAAGAUAUGCCUAGGUGGGAUUAGCUAGUUGGUGAGGUAAUGGCUCACCAAGGCGACGAUCCCUAGCUGGUCUGAGAGGAUGAUCAGCCACACUGGAACUGAGACACGGUCCAGACUCCUACGGGAGGCAGCAGUGGGGAAUAUUGCACAAUGGGCGAAAGCCUGAUGCAGCCAUGCCGCGUGUAUGAAGAANGCCUUCGGGUUGUAAAGUACUUUCAGUUGUGAGGAAGGGUGUGUAGUUAAUAGCUGCGCAUCUUGACGUUAGCAACAGAAGACACACCGGCUAACUCCGUGCCAGCAGCCGCGGUAAUACGGAGGGUGCGAGCGUUAAUCGGAAUUACUGGGCGUAAAGCGCAUGCAGGUGG
rnacentral:rRNA from 1 species